UCCAUGCAACUGGCGCCAACACUCCCCCAGUUCUCUGAGCUCUCAGUCUGGACCACUAGAUGGACAGCUAAUUGAGCUAACUAGCAAAUGGCAGCCAUACUUGGCAGCAGUUAGCAUUUACGCUAGUGAUGCUGGCCCGUUUGUUUUCAAUAUCAUUCUACAGCAAGUGAAGGCAUCACUAGCCAUACGACAAACGCUCUGUCUCUGCUCCUGAUUGGCUCAGAUGAGAGAAGCUGGCUGUGAGCGCACUCAGCCCAUAUGUCCCCCUCCUCGACCCCCUCAACACUCAGAGGGCGGAGAUCCCAGACCAUGGAGGUGGCCAGUCCCUGUCACUCAGCAUGAUGUGUGUGUGCACUCACAGCUGCUGGCUCCUCGCCUGGAACUGCAGAGUGUCCAAUAUAAAUGAAUAAAUAAAUGAAUAAAUAAAAAGGCUC